rnacentral:pre_miRNA from 1 species
UGGUGAUGAUAAUGAUGAUGAUGAUGACGAUGACGAUGACGACGACGACGAUAUUUAUCCUCCUCCUCCUCCUUCUCCUCUUCAUCAUCAUCAUCAUCAUCAUCAUCAUCACCAUCA